GCCCGGUUAGCUCAGCGGUAGAGCUUCGCCUUUACACGGCGAGUAAGCGGCGGUUCGAUCCCGCCACUGGGUA
rnacentral:tRNA from 1 species